rnacentral:lncRNA from 1 species
AAUCACCACCACCUCCGGUGCAUUCUCCACCUCCACCAUAUGAGUAUAAAUCACCACCACCACCUUCACCAUCCCCACCACCACCAUAUGUGUACAAGUCUCCACCACCACCCGUCAAAUCCCCACCUCCACCAUACCACUACUCAUCACCACCACCACCCGUAAAAUCCCCACCUCCACCAUACCACUACUCCUCCCCACCACCACCUGUAAAAUCACCUCCUCCACCUUAUCAUUACUCAUCUCCACCACCACCAGUCAAAUCCCCACCACCACCAUACCACUACUCAUCACCUCCACCACCCGUAAAAUCACCACCUCCACCAUACUACUACAAGUCCCCACCACCUCCAGUUAAAUCCCCACCACCACCAUACUACUACCAUUCUCCUCCUCCCCCAGUGAAGUCACCACCUCCACCAUACCACUACAACUCUCCUCCACCACCCAAGCAUUCUCCACCACCACCUUACUACUACAAGUCUCCACCACCCCCCGUCAAGUCACCACCCCCACCAUACUACUAUCACUCUCCACCACCCCCAAUGAAGUCACCACCCCCACCAUACUACUACAGCUCACCACCACCACCCGUCAAGUCCCCACCACCACCAUACUACUACAGUUCACCACCACCACCGGUGAAAUCCCCGCCACCCCCAUACUACUACACAUCCCCACCACCACCAGUGAAAUCUCCACCACCUCCUUACUAUCCUCACCCUCAUCAUCACUCAUACACCGUGAAGGUAGUAGGAAAGGUUUACUGUUACAGAUGCUACGACUGGAAGUACCCAAUCAAGUCCCAUGCAAAGAUGCACCUAAAAGGUAACUUUUUUUCUAUUUUAUCAAUUAUUUAAUACACAUAAUUACCUCCUAGUUACAUUCUUCAGUCUUAAGUAUAUAUGUUUUUUCAGUUAUAUACACGCUCCUCUUUAAUAAUUUAGCUUUCUUACUGAUCAUUGCUUAUUAUAUUGUCCACGCACAUGCAUGCUAGCUAGCUCAUACUACACUCAUUUUCCUUUUCCUUGCUCUUUCUUAAUGUGGAAAUCCUAAUACCCUAGUGAGCUUAAUUAUUAUCACCAGAUCACUUCUAAAAUGUAAAGUUAAUCAUGCUUUUAUAAUGAACUAAUAUGCUUCAUUUAUUAUUAAUCACUUUGGUUUCUUUUUAUGUGACACUGUGAUUUACAUGCAUUCUAUAUAGUUCCGGCCACCUAGUACACUUUAAUGAGCUUGAUUAAUAUCAGAUCAUCUUCCUAUAAAAAGUUAAAUCAUGAUUUAUGAAUUAAUUAAUAUCCAUAACGACCAUAUGUCAUAACAGCUUUAUGUUGUAAAGCGAAAGAAAAGAAGGGCUGGACACCAUUAUAUAAUAGGACAGAUUCGAUCUGGCUAGCACCCACCCGAUCCACAUUGUUCAAUAAAAGACAUGCAUAUUUUUAUCUAUAAUCCACCAAUGAAAUUCUUGAUUUAUGCACCAAAAUUGGACGUAUAUAAUUUGUUCCCUUAUAUCUUUAUUUAGAUUAUAUCUUUAUAUAGAUUAGUGUAUAGUUUAAUAAUAUUAUUUCAAAUAUAUAUUUAAUAUUUUUCCCACCGGGUGUUACAUCUUUUACAUAUAAGCAUGUUAUAUAAUAAUAUAAUAUAAAGAUUUUUAACUUACUUUAAUUUUGGUAUAUGUCAAGCAUAUGCCAAUGAUGUUGCAUAUUAGAUUAAUUAGUAAAGAGAUAUGUCCUUUCAAAGAAUAAAUUAUAAUUAAAAUUGACAUGCUAGUCUUCUAUAUACUGUUAAGAUGUCUACAUACAGAGAAACUUCAUACCACACAUAGUCCAACGAUUGAUCUCUGAUUUGAAAAUAUAGAACGUGUAUUUAUUCUUAUUUGAAAAACGUGGCAACUAGAUCAGAGUUGGAAGCUAAGAUAAUAUAUAUUAGUACAAACAACUCACAAAGGAUAAGAGGACAAAAUGACUUAUUAUUAAAAAAAACUGAAUUAGGUAAAGACUGUAUUUAUUUAAGAUUUUGUCAAUAAAGUGGUUGUAAUAAUUCAACAUGUGGAAACAGGUGCUGUGGUUGAGGUGACAUGCAAGGCAGGAGACAAAGAUGUGGUGGCUUAUGGUAAGACAAAGAUCAAUGGUAAAUACAGCAUCACGGUUAAAGGAUUUGAGUACGGAAAGUAUGGUGGAGCCAAGGCAUGCAAAGCUAAGCUCCAUAUGGCGCCCAAGGAUUCUAAAUGUAAUAUUGCAACAAAUCUUCAUUGGGGCAUUAAGGGUGCUAAACUCAAAGUGAAAUCUAAGAGCAAAUAUGAAGUUGUUUUGUCUGCUAAGCCAUUUGCAUAUGCUCCCAAGACUCCUUACAAGAAGUGUUACAAGCCUGCACCAACACCAGCUCCGGUGACUCCGGUGACACCGCCUUAUUAUUAUAAGUCUCCACCACCGCCACCCAAGUCUCCCGCACCAACUCCUUAUUAUUACAAAUCUCCACCACCGCCAUCUAAAUCUCCGGCACCAACUCCUUACUACUACAAGUCUCCACCACCACCGCCUAAAUCUCCCACGCCAACACCUUACUACUACAAGUCUCCUCCCCCACCAACAAAAUCUCCGGUUCCAGCUCCUUAUUACUACAAAUCUCCCCCACCACCAACUAAGUCUCCCACUCCGGCUCCUUAUUACUACAAGUCCCCACCACCACCUUCACCAUCACCACCACCUCCAUACUACUACAAAUCACCACCACCACCUGUCAAGUCUCCCACUCCCGCUCCUUAUUACUACAAGUCCCCACCACCGCCGUCACCAUCUCCACCACCUCCAUACUACUACAAAUCACCACCACCACCCGUGAAAUCUCCAACUCCAACUCCUUACUACUACAAGUCUCCACCCCCACCGUCACCAUCUCCUCCCCCACCAUACUACUACAAAUCACCACCACCACCCGUGCAUUCACCUCCACCACCUUACUACUACAAAUCACCACCCCCGCCAGUGCACUCACCUCCACCACCCUACUACUACAAAUCACCACCACCUCCUUCGCCAUCUCCUCCACCACCAUAUUACUACAAGUCCCCACCUCCACCAAGUCCAUCCCCUCCACCUCCAUACCAUUACUCAUCACCUCCACCACCUGUGAAAUCCCCACCACCUCCAUAUCAUUAUUCCUCACCCCCACCACCUGUCAAAUCCCCGCCACCUCCAUAUCAUUAUUCGUCACCCCCACCACCAGUGAAAUCCCCGCCACCUCCAUAUCAUUAUUCGUCACCCCCACCACCAGUGAAAUCCCCGCCACCUCCAUAUCAUUAUUCGUCACCCCCACCACCAGUGAAAUCCCCGCCACCACCAUAUCAUUAUUCAUCACCACCACCCCCCGUCAAAUCCCCACCACCUCCUUACCAUUACUCUUCACCACCACCACCAGUAAAAUCUCCACCACCUCCAUAUCAUUAUUCAUCACCUCCACCACCAGUGAAAUCCCCACCACCUCCAUACCACUAUACGUCACCACCACCUCCAGUAAAAUCACCACCACCCCCAUAUCAUUAUUCAUCACCUCCACCACCCGUGAAGUCCCCACCACCACCAUACCACUAUUCUUCACCACCACCACCAGUAAAAUCCCCACCUCCUCCAUACCAUUACUCAUCACCUCCCCCACCUGUGAAAUCACCACCCCCUCCAUACCACUACUCUUCACCACCACCACCAGUCAAAUCCCCACCUCCUCCAUACCACUACUCUUCACCUCCACCACCGGUGAAAUCUCCACCUCCCCCAUACCACUACUCAUCUCCACCACCGCCAGUGAAAUCACCUCCACCACCGUACCACUACUCAUCUCCACCACCUCCCGUGAAAUCCCCACCUCCACCGUACCACUACUCAUCACCUCCACCACCCGUAAAAUCACCACCUCCUCCAUACCACUACUCAUCACCACCACCGCCAGUGAAGUCACCUCCUCCCCCAUACCACUACUCAUCACCACCACCACCAGAAAAAUCACCACCCCCACCAUACCACUACUCAUCUCCCCCACCCCCAGAGAAAUCUCCGCCCCCACCUUACCAUUACUCAUCCCCUCCACCACCCGUAAAAUCCCCACCUCCCCCAUACCACUACUCAUCCCCACCACCACCCGUGAAGUCUCCACCUCCCCCGUAUCACUAUUCCUCACCCCCACCGCCAGUGAAAUCACCUCCUCCCCCAUACGUCUAUUCAUCACCACCCCCAC